rnacentral:lncRNA from 1 species
UGAAGUUUUAAUUCACUAAGUGAUUGGAUUAAAUAUAAUCAAAUGAAUUGAUGUCAAUCACCUCACUACCUUGCUAAUUAGAACCUAAAAUGAUUGUACACCGAUACACUCUUGUAGUGAGUAAUUAAUGGAUGAAGGAAAUAAUUAAUUGGAUUAAUUAAGUGUUGUGAUUAAUUUAGAAAGUCUAAAGAAAUCAUGAAAGCGAUAAAAGAUCGUUUUGGGCUUAAAGAAACGUUCGGGUUUAAUUGGGCCCAUUGGGCCUAAACCCAUUGGGCUUUUAUUCAAGCAUAGGAUGACUUGAAAUAAUAAAAGCCCAAAGCCCAAACCAAACACUAAAAGGCCGGCCACUUAAAGGGUUUGGGAGAGAUAUUUAGUCAAGUUGUUGACUAGGUUUCUUUUUGUCUAUAUAAGGAACUUUAUAGCACAAAGUUCAUUAGGGUUUUUUUGUGUGUUUUUUA